GUUUCAUCUGGAGCUCCCUCCAUACCAGAGGAUUUGAGAGGCCUACUAAAGUAAUUCCUGUGUCCCUGCCUUCUGGACACCGGUUGUUAUUAACUGUGCUGGGGCAGCCCAUAGCUUCCAUAUGCAGCUCUGCCAGAGUGAUUUGUCGCAGGCUGAAGCCCAUGGCCGUGUCCAUAGGUCUGGGCUGAUGAUCUGCAGGAAAUUAGAUGCUGUGUUUUUAUUGUCGAUAGCUGAGACCUUGCAGAAAACAGGGAGAUGAAGACAGUCAGGCCCAUGACACAUUUAUUCUGAUCUAUCACCAUAGAAACAGAUAAUCCAUCAAAGGUCCGUGUGGACAAAGCCAGUUUGCAAGAUGGGAUGUAACGGGGCUCCACCCCGUUCACAGAAGGCUGCGUCCAGGCCCAUGUGUGCAGCCUCCCUCCAAGCACUCAGUGCACAGCUGGGUGCUUUGGGUCCUUGCAUUGCUGUGAGCCCAGGGCAGUGCUGGGAGCAGGAGGAGCAGACACCUCCACACCACGCACUAAGGCUGCAGAGGUGAAGAGGACCAGGGCUGACAGCUACAUCAGCACUUUUUUUUGCACAUCCACUUGCUUACAAGACGAGAGCUUGAUGCCUGGAUUUAACAAGACAAUGAAUUGUCUCCCCAACACCCAGACCUACCAGCACUUCGAAAUGUUCCUCCACUGCUGCCUUUCUGCUCCAUUACGUUUGGCGCUGAAGCAUCAGAACGGUAGCUGACAUCUCUUACAGAGUGUGUCAUUUCCUUUACAUAGAUUUCCUGAGGGCUGAGCAAACCACGUGUAUGUACAGCAAGAAACACACACAAAAAUACAUGAAUUAUGCCAAGGCAUUAAGGUAUCAGUAUAAUAGAGGGCUGGUGGGCUGCUAAACGUGGUGUGCAUGUGCAGCUGUAUGGGACUGCUGGUAGUGUUUGCACCAUGCAGGGUCUGCAGUGUGACUGAAGUAUAUUACUUACGUCUUAUGGCAGAUCGUGUUGGUCGAUCAUUAAAUAUAUAUAUGUUGU
ensembl:lncRNA